UAAUGUAAGCUCUUCAACUUCUA
rnacentral:siRNA from 1 species